UUUUUUUUUGGCAGAGUCUCUCUCUGUUGCCCAGACUGGAGUGCAGUGGCGCGAUCUCAGCUCAGUGCAAACUCCACCUCCCAGGUUCACAUCAUUUUCCUGCCUCAGCCUCCCCAGUAGCUGGGACUACAGGCACCCACCACCACGCUUGGCUAAUUUCUUGUAUUUUUCAGUAGAGACGGGGUUUCACCAUGUUAGCCAGGAUGGUCUCAAUCUCCUACCCUCAUGAUCCGUCCACCUCAGCCUCCCAAAGUGCUGGGAUGACAGGCGUGAGCCACUGCACCUGGCCUAGCUUCAGAGUUUUAAAAAAAUAAUUAUGCCUGUAAAUACAUCUUUCUGCCAGUGUUUCCAAGGCAUCCUGCAGAGUGUGGACCAAGGAGCCCCACCUGGUUUUGCUGAUGCAUCUCACCAGCAUCCAUACAAGGCAUCCCUUGGGCUUGCUGCAUCAGCUCUGGCCACGAGGAUCUCACUGUCCACGAGGCUCGGCUGCCUCAUGAGUGGUUUCCAGGAGUUAAAGGGCAGGAUCUAUCCAAAGUUGUAGAAGCAAAGCCUCUGAGCUGGGUGGAGAAAGCCACCGAGACAGCCAGGUGAACUGGGACUCAGUUCAGAAAGGACAGAAGAUCCCACAUGAGGCCCAGAACCCAAGGGGGGAACCUGGAGAGUCCCCUGUGCUGGCAAACCUACCGCUGUAGCACCCAUCCGCUCCACCCGCUUCCCAUCCACAGAGAGCGUGCCCACACUGCCUGGCCUCCCUGGCACCCAAGGUGCUGCAGGGAGUCAAGGUCAUCAGAGAAUCAGCCCUCACACAGGGCUGAGAACCCACCUGGUGAGGUUGGAUGGACAGUACAGAGGCAGAAAGUAAAGUGGGUGAGAGCCCGAGGGAGGGAGAGACAGUGGCUGCAGCGGGCGCUCAGAGGAGGGAAGAGGUUGCCUGGGCUGCGCUUGUCAUGGGAGCAGGUCCCAGGGUGGCCACUUCUGCAUCUGCAGAAAGCACAGGGCCUGGGGCAGGGGAUCUCUGUUUAUACCCAGCUUAGCCUCAUUCCCUGAGGCUGGGGCAGAGGUAGGUGGGGGCAAACAGAUCCUGAGCAAUAAGUGAACCCCAAGAGAGAAGAACCCCACCCAGAUCUCGGGAAUGUGAGGAUGUGAACCCAAAAUAUGAGACAGGUCUCAAUCAAGUUAGAAAGUUUAUUCUGUGGCCAGGCACAGUGGCUCCUGCCUAUAAUCCCUGCAAUUUGUAAGGCCAAGGCCGGUGGAUCACUUGAGGUCAGGGGUUUGAGACCAGCCUGGCCAACUUGGCAAAACCUUGUCUCUACUAAAAAUACAAAAAUUAGUUGGGUGUGGUGGCGCACGCCUGUAGUCCCAGCUACUCAGGAGGCUGAGGCACAAGAAUCUCUUGAAUCUGGGAAGCAGGGGUUACAGUGAGUGGAGAUCUCACCACUGCAUUCCAACCUGGGUGACAAAGUGACACCCUG
rnacentral:lncRNA from 1 species